rnacentral:rRNA from 1 species
GGGUGCGAUCAUACCAACGUUAAUGUAUCGGAUCCCAUCAAAACUCAACAGUUAAGCACGCUUGGGAUAGAGUAGUACUGGGAUGGGGAACCUCCCGGGGAGUACUAGUGUUGCACCCU